AGAGUUUGAUCAUGGCUCAGAUUGAACGCUGGCGGCAGGCCUAACACAUGCAAGUCGAACGGUAACAGGAAACAGCUUGCUGUUUCGCUGACGAGUGGCGGACGGGUGAGUAAUGUCUGGGAAACUGCCUGAUGGAGGGGGAUAACUACUGGAAACGGUAGCUAAUACCGCAUAACGUCGCAAGACCAAAGAGGGGGACCUUCGGGCCUCUUGCCAUCAGAUGUGCCCAGAUGGGAUUAGCUAGUAGGUGGGGUAACGGCUCACCUAGGCGACGAUCCCUAGCUGGUCUGAGAGGAUGACCAGCCACACUGGAACUGAGACACGGUCCAGACUCCUACGGGAGGCAGCAGUGGGGAAUAUUGCACAAUGGGCGCAAGCCUGAUGCAGCCAUGCCGCGUGUAUGAAGAAGGCCUUCGGGUUGUAAAGUACUUUCAGCGGGGAGGAAGGGAGUAAAGUUAAUACCUUUGCUCAUUGACGUUACCCGCAGAAGAAGCACCGGCUAACUCCGUGCCAGCAGCCGCGGUAAUACGGAGGGUGCAAGCGUUAAUCGGAAUUACUGGGCGUAAAGCGCACGCAGGCGGUUUGUUAAGUCAGAUGUGAAAUCCCCGGGCUCAACCUGGGAACUGCAUCUGAUACUGGCAAGCUUGAGUCUCGUAGAGGGGGGUAGAAUUCCAGGUGUAGCGGUGAAAUGCGUAGAGAUCAGGAGGAAUACCGGUGGCGAAGGCGGCCCCCUGGACGAAGACUGACGCUCAGGUGCGAAAGCGUGGGGAGCAAACAGGAUUAGAUACCCUGGUAGUCCACGCCGUAAACGAUGUCGACUUGGAGGUUGUGCCCUUGAGGCGUGGCUUCCGGAGCUAACGCGUUAAGUCGACCGCCUGGGGAGUACGGCCGCAAGGUUAAAACUCAAAUGAAUUGACGGGGGCCCGCACAAGCGGUGGAGCAUGUGGUUUAAUUCGAUGCAACGCGAAGAACCUUACCUGGUCUUGACAUCCACGGAAGUUUUCAGAGAUGAGAAUGUGCCUUCGGGAACCGUGAGACAGGUGCUGCAUGGCUGUCGUCAGCUCGUGUUGUGAAAUGUUGGGUUAAGUCCCGCAACGAGCGCAACCCUUAUCCUUUGUUGCCAGCGGUCCGGCCGGGAACUCAAAGGAGACUGCCAGUGAUAAACUGGAGGAAGGUGGGGAUGACGUCAAGUCAUCAUGGCCCUUACGACCAGGGCUACACACGUGCUACAAUGGCGCAUACAAAGAGAAGCGACCUCGCGAGAGCAAGCGGACCUCAUAAAGUGCGUCGUAGUCCGGAUUGGAGUCUGCAACUCGACUCCAUGAAGUCGGAAUCGCUAGUAAUCGUGGAUCAGAAUGCCACGGUGAAUACGUUCCCGGGCCUUGUACACACCGCCCGUCACACCAUGGGAGUGGGUUGCAAAAGAAGUAGGUAGCUUAACCUUCGGGAGGGCGCUUACCACUUUGUGAUUCAUGACUGGGGUGAAGUCGGAACAAGGUAACCGUAGGGGAACCUGCGGUUG
rnacentral:rRNA from 1 species